CCUACGGGAGGCAGCAGUGGGGAAUAUUGGACAAUGGGCGAAAGCCUGAUCCAGCCAUGCCGCGUGUGUGAAGAAGGCCUUCGGGUUGUAAAGCACUUUCAGUGGGGAAGAAAGCCUUGGGGCUAAUACCCUCGAGGAAGGACAUCACCCACAGAAGAAGCACCGGCUAACUCCGUGCCAGCAGCCGCGGUAAUACGGAGGGUACGAGCGUUAAUCGGAAUUACUGGGCGUAAAGCGCGCGUAGGCGGUCUGAUAAGCCGGUUGUGAAAGCCCCGGGCUCAACCUGGGAACGGCAUCCGGAACUGUCAGGCUAGAGUGCAGGAGAGGAAGGUAGAAUUCCCGGUGUAGCGGUGAAAUGCGUAGAGAUCGGGAGGAAUACCAGUGGCGAAGGCGGCCUUCUGGACUGACACUGACGCUGAGGUGCGAAAGCGUGGGUAGCAAACAGGAUUAGAUACCCUAGUAGUC
rnacentral:rRNA from 1 species